rnacentral:rRNA from 1 species
CUCUUCCCAUUCCGAACAGAGAAGUUAAGCUCAGUCACGCCGAUGGUACUGCGUAACAGUGGGAGAGUAGGUAGUCGCCGUUU